rnacentral:tRNA from 1 species
AAGGGAGACCUAAUUCGGGUAGGAGACGAAAAAAAAGUAGUCGCUACCAAGAAUCAAUCCCAAAAGGUCGGAGCGAGGCGAAAUUGGCUUUCAAACUAGGUUCUGGGUUCACACAAGACCUGAAUCAGGAACAAGGGCUAUUAGCUCAGGUGGUUAGAGCGCACCCCUGAUAAGGGUGAGGUCCCUGGUUCGAGUCCAGGAUGGCCCACCUGUACAGGUAGCCAAAACCAAGAAAAGAAGCGAGGAAUCAGCACCUGCUCUUACCUACAUAGUAAGAGAGAAUGCUGGCUCUGAGUACAGAGUCCAGAGGAACCUUGAAAACUGCAUAGAGCUAGGUGAAAAAGCCAAAAAAGAAGACCGCAUGCAA